GGCAGGCUAUUCCAGAUUUUAGGUGCAUAACAGCAGAAGGCCGCCUCACCACUUCUUUUAAGUUUUGCUCUUGGAAUUCUAAGGAGACACUCAGUUGAGGAUCUGAGGUUACGAUUUGGAAUAUAGGGUGUCAGGCAUUCCGAUAUAUAAGAUGGAGUGAGAUUAUUUAAGGCUUUAUAAACCAUAAGCAGUAUUUUAAAGUCAAUUCUGAAUGACACAGGUAACCAGUGUAGUGACAUUAAAACUGGAGAAAUGUGCUCGGAUUUUCUUUUCCUAGUUAGGAUUCUAGCAGCUGCAUUCUGCACUAGUUGCAAAUGAUUUAUGUCUUUUUUGGGUAGUCCUGAGAGGAGUGCGUUACAGUAA